UAUAAUUCUACUCUAAACAAAUGCACCCAAGCUAAGGGCAAUGCCUUGAGUUUUUGAACGAAUGCGAACAUGUCCUGAGAUAGGACCGGAGACGGAUUUUUCAACGCUAAGACUCAUAAGUGCGUCUUCCCCAAAAAUACUGCAGGCGUACAAAUUAGCACUCAAAAAACCACAGUCACCACGCAGAGACGCGUCUGGAGUAAGACAGUUCAUAUUGGUUUUCUUCAUUAUUUUAUGUAAGAAAUCGUACAGACUAAUGUCUUCGUUGGAAGAAA